rnacentral:rRNA from 1 species
GAAGAGGAGCUUGCUCCUUGGAUCAGUGGCGAACGGGUGAGUAACACGUGGGCAACCUGCCUAUAAGACUGGGAUAACUUCGGGAAACCGGAGCUAAUACCGGAUAAUUCUUUUCUACACAUGUAGAAAAGCUAAAAGACGGUUUACGCUGUCACUUAUAGAUGGGCCCGCGGCGCAUUAGCUAGUUGGUGAGGUAACGGCUCACCAAGGCCACGAUGCGUAGCCGACCUGAGAGGGUGAUCGGCCACACUGGGACUGAGACACGGCCCAGACUCCUACGGGAGGCAGCAGUAGGGAAUCUUCCGCAAUGGACGAAAGUCUGACGGAGCAACGCCGCGUGAGUGAUGAAGGUUUUCGGA